rnacentral:rRNA from 1 species
CGAAUUUUUGAGAACCCUUUGAGAAGGCGUUCAAGGGGUUCUCAAAUAAAACAUAAAAGUAAAAACCUUCAUGAAAUGAAGGUUUUAUUUUAUGUAAUCAUUUAGGUGUUAAUGUAAACGAACCAUAACUAUGUAAGCCUAUUCCUAAUAGAUUUAUACCAAAAUAACAAAUCCAAAUUAUAAGAAAUCCUAUCGAAGCUAUAAGUGCAGAAUUCGUACCCUUCCAAUUUGGAUUUGUUCUACUAUGUAAAUAAAUUGCGAAUAUGGUCCAAGUAAUAAAUGCCCAAGUUUCCUUAGGAUCCCAAUUCCAAUAGGAUCCCCAGGCCUCAUUAGCCCAUACUGCUCCACAAAGAAUACCUACGGUUAAAAGGGUAAAUCCUAGGCUAAUGACACGAUAACUCCAAGAAUCCAAACGCUCCGUUAAUUGAUAUUUGUAAUAAUUUGGAAAUGAAGGGACAGAGGUUCUUUUUAAAGCACUUCUUUUUGCAUAAAAAUAUUUAAUAUCACUAAAG